UACAGAGGGGGCAAGCGUUGUUCGGAAUUACUGGGCGUAAAGGGCGCGUAGGCGGCCUUCUAAGUCGAACGUGAAAUCCCCGGGCUCAACCCGGGAACUGCGUCCGAUACUGGAAGGCUUGAAUCCGGGAGAGGGAUGUGGAAUUCCAGGUGUAGCGGUGAAAAUGCGUAGAUAUCUGGAGGAACACCGGUGGCGAAGGCGACAUCCUGGACCGGUAUUGACGCUGAGGCGCGAAAGCCAGGGGAGCAA
rnacentral:rRNA from 1 species